CAGUCGCCGCGGUAAUACGGAGGAUCCAAGCGUUAUCCGGAAUCAUUGGGUUUAAAGGGUCCGUAGGCGGUCUUGUAAGUCAGUGGUGAAAGCCCAUCGCUCAACGGUGGAACGGCCAUUGAUACUGCAGGACUUGAAUUAUUGGGAAGUAACUAGAAUAUGUAGUGUAGCGGUGAAAUGCUUAGAGAUUACAUGGAAUACCAAUUGCGAAGGCAGGUUACUACCAAUUGAUUGACGCUGAUGGACGAAAGCGUGGGUAGCGAACAGGAUUAGAUACCCGUGUAGUCCCUGUCUCUUAUCC
rnacentral:rRNA from 1 species